AUCUAUGAAUGUGGAUCUUUGGAAAUUAAAAAGUCCCAUAUGCAGCGAAAAAUCUGGUGCUGCCAAGAAGAGUAUUUUUAGAGUUGCGUGGCAUCGAAGGCCUGGAGCGGAGUGAGGUAUAUGAAGCAAGAGUAAGAUCAAAAGCUGUAUUCCAGAGCAAGAGGAGCAUUUGCCAGAGAAGUGAGGAGAGCUAGAUGAUCCACAGCGGUUCAGCGUGGGCUCGCCUAUACACUUUUUCCGGGUUUGAUGUCAACCGAAGGGUGGCUAAUGAGAGACGACAAGCGACUGACGAAGGGACGAGAGAUCAGACACACUCACCCCAAAGAUGGAAAGCAGGAUGAACUCAUUGACGGCGAACAAUGUCACCUCGAAAAUGGCCAUAACAAGUAGUUGCACAGGACUGGUCUUCCCCAAAACGGCGCCAAAAGAGAUCAGCACGGAACCAGUGCAGAAGUCUGCAUUUAUCAUGCUGCAGAACAAACAUAUUCACUUUGAGCAAUGACAAGCAAAACAGAUGCAACCACUCCCAUAAAG